GACGAACGCUGGCGGCGUGCCUAAUACAUGCAAGUAGAACGCUGAAGAGAGGAGCUUGCUCUUCUUGGAUGAGUUGCGAACGGGUGAGUAACGCGUAGGUAACCUGCCUUGUAGCGGGGGAUAACUAUUGGAAACGAUAGCUAAUACCGCAUAACAAUGGAUGACCCAUGUCAUUUAUUUGAAAGGGGCAACUGCUCCACUACAAGAUGGACCUGCGUUGUAUUAGCUAGUAGGUGAGGUAACGGCUCACCUAGGCGACGAUACAUAGCCGACCUGAGAGGGUGAUCGGCCACACUGGGACUGAGACACGGCCCAGACUCCUACGGGAGGCAGCAGUAGGGAAUCUUCGGCAAUGGGGGCAACCCUGACCGAGCAACGCCGCGUGAGUGAAGAAGGGUUUCGGAUCGUAAAGCUCUGUUGUAAGUCAAGAACGAGUGUGAGAGUGGAAAGUUCACACUGUGACGGUAGCUUACCAGAAAGGGACGGCUAACUACGUG
rnacentral:rRNA from 1 species